CCCCCACUUAGUCCGGUUCGAUAUCUGGGAAAUGCAUCCGAUUUGGUUGAAUUAAGGGUUCUGGUCUUAGCUGCGCAUCAUUUUCAUUUCAUAAACCCUAAUCAACAAAACUUGGGAUUUUACACUUUGCUGAACAAGAUCGAAGCUCAGUAUAUAUACACAGAUAUAGGUAAUAGAGAAUGGGAGUGGCGAGCAAGGCAGGGGAUUGGGUAUUCAGGGCUUUCACGGCGGGGCUAGGCGUCGCCACCGUUUACCUCGGCGCCACUUUCUCCGUCAACGUUUAUCGUGGACUUAAAUGGCACAACGCCCAAACGAAGAUUGAUAAGGAGUCACCUAACGACUCUCAGAAUCAAGAAAAUCAAGAAUGAUUGCUUGUGGUUCCCAAGUAGCAACAUGAUUUUUGUAUUGAUUUAAUUUGGAGAUGGAGAUGGAGAUAUAAAUUUUGAAGCAUCUCUGAAUUACAUGAGAUUGUGCAAUAACCUCCUCCUAGCUGCUGCAGUUUCAUUUGAUGAUUAUUUUAAAAUGUAUCACUUUAUUAUGAUAUAUCUUAUGGGCUAAAAGUUGCUUUUCUGGAAGCUACUAAGUACGACUAAAAAAACUGGCUUGAAACACAGCAACGGUGUGAACCAGAAAGGUAGGAAGAUAUUGAUUAGUCAUCAAGCAUUAUUUGAAUUAUUUGAUGUUUCUAAAUUAUUAUGGAGUAUGGUGCUUGAGCCAUGUUGAAAUCAUGAGGAUUUAUGUUGCAA